AACCUGCCCGCGCACCGGGAAUACGCUCUGGAAACGGAGAACAAAUCCCGAUGUACAGGAAGGAGGCAUCUUCUUUCUGUGAAACAUCCUUUAGGGGAUGGGGCGCGGAUGGACCUGCGGUGCAUUAGUUUGUUGGCGGGGUAAAGGCCCACCAAGACGAUGAUGCAUAGCCGGCCUGAGAGGGCGGACGGCCACAUUGGGACUGAGACACGGCCCAGACUCCUGCGGGAGGCAGCAGUAGGGAAUUUUCGUCAAUGGGCGCAAGCCUGAACGAGCGAUGCCGCGUGAGUGAAGAAGGCCUUCGGGUCGUAAAGCUCUGUUGCGGGGGAAAAAAGGCAGCAUCAGGAAAUGGGUGCUGACUGAUGGUGCCCCGCCAGAAAGUCACGGCUAACUACGUGCCAGCAGCCGCGGUAAUACGUAGGUGGCGAGCGUUAUCCGGAAUGAUUGGGCGUAAAGGGUGCGCAGGCGGUCCUGCAAGUCUGGAGUGAAACGCAUGAGCUCAACUCAUGCAUGGCUUUGGAAACUGGAGGACUGGAGAGCAGGAGAGGGCGGUGGAACUCCAUGUGUAGCGGUAAAAUGCGUAGAUAUAUGGAAGAACACCAGUGGCGAAGGCGGCCGCCUGGCCUGUUGCUGACGCUGAGGCACGAAAGCGUGGGGAGCAAAUAGGAUUAGAUACCCUAGUAGUCCACGCCGUAAACGAUGAGGACCAAGUG
rnacentral:rRNA from 1 species